UCCUGGCUUAGGACGAACGCUGGCGGCGUGCCUAAUACAUGCAAGUCGAACGGUCUUUUCUAUGGAAGCUUGCUUCCACUGAGAAGAUAGUGGCGAACGGGUGAGUAACACGUGGGUAACCUGCCCAUAAGAGGGGGAUAACAUCCGGAAACGGGUGCUAAUACCGCAUAGUUUUCUUGAUCGCAUGAUUGAGAAAGGAAAGACGGCCUUUGUGCUGUCGCUUAUGGAUGGACCCGCGGCGUAUUAGUUAGUUGGUGAGGUAACGGCUCACCAAGACGAUGAUACGUAGCCGACCUGAGAGGGUGAUCGGCCACAUUGGGACUGAGACACGGCCCAAACUCCUACGGGAGGCAGCAGUAGGGAAUCUUCCGCAAUGGACGAAAGUCUGACGGAGCAACGCCGCGUGAGUGAAGAAAGGUUUUCGGAUCGUAAAACUCUGUUGUCAGAGAAGAACAAGUUGGAGAGUAACUGCUCCAGCCUUGACGGUAUCUGACCAGAAAGCCACGGCUAACUACGUGCCAGCCGCAGC
rnacentral:rRNA from 1 species